UACGUAGGGCGCAAGCGUUGUCCGGAAUUAUUGGGCGUAAAGAGCUCGUAGGCGGUCUGUCGCGUCGGAUGUGAAAGCCCGAGGCUUAACCUCGGGUCUGCAGUCGAUACGGGCUAGCUAGAGUGUGGUAGGGGAGAUCGGAAUUCCUGGUGUAGCGGUGAAAUGCGCAGAUAUCAGGAGGAACACCGGUGGCGAAAGCGGCGCGCUGGAUCUCUUCUGACGCUGAGGCGCGAAAGCCAGGGGAGCAAACGGG
rnacentral:rRNA from 1 species